CAGAGAAAAAUGCCACAGCCUUAACUGCGUCUGCCGGGUGGUUUUACUUGAUGCCAAAUUAAUUUAAAAGACCUUAUGACUUAGUGUCAGCUCAAAUCUCUGUCCCUAGCAUCAGUGCCACAUUUGGCAACGCAUCACCAUCACCAAGAGAGUGCAGCUUCUGAACUGCCACUUCUGUUUUGUUGCCUGUAGUGAAAUAUUCAGGGAAGAGACUGAGAGGCCAGCCUUAAUGUAACCCCAGUCUUUCUCUGAAUGAAGUUGAAGGUACAUUUGUAUAAUUACAUUUCCAUCGCAUUUUUAAAUAAUCAGUACUGUGGGUACAUCAGUUACAGAAAUUCCAUGACUAUAGCUCCUUAGAACACAAGAAAUCUGUACCAGCAAGUACUGCAUAAUGGAAUUUGAUAGAAGAGCAAUGUGUAAUGUCAUUUUCUCUACCAAUAUAGACAACAGCACAGAAUAGAAGAUAAAAGGAGAUGUAAAGAACCAGUAAUUUUCUCAUAACUAUGUCUUCUUUUUAAUUGCAAUGUAUAUGACAACCUGUGAAUACUAGUUGAAAAUAUAGAAGACUAAAUGAUCAGCAUGUGAAGUAAAAUGUGACUUUUCAAUUGCAUGUAGUUGACAGCAGUUCAAGUUACUAAUUUGCAUUUGGAAGCAUUUUUUCCCCAAAAAAUGUGUGUCGGAAUGAAAACCAUUUUUCUUGGGAUCUACCAACAAACCCAACUGUGAUGUCUACACAGAAUAGGAUCUGGGUCUACUCGCAAAAUAACUAAAGAGAAAAAAGUGGAUUUCAGCAUCUCUUGACUUAUUUCCAUUUAUCUGCCUGUACUGUGUUUCCUACCUGGCGAGGAUAAUCAGAGAAAAAGAAAGGCUUUUCUUGGCCAGAACAAAGGUACCCAUAGCCAAGUUUCCUGCCUUCAGCAGCUGAUGCCUAGAGGAGACGAUAAGGUCAAGGUGGUGUUAGCUGGGAAGCCUACAGCAGCAUUUCCAUCGGUCUGUCGUUCUUUAGCGCUGUAAGAGUUCCCCCCACCAGCUCCCUGUGGCUGCAGCAGGUUGUUUCCUGGUCGGGACCACUGUUACCUGUUUGCUCCUUCUCUGUCUUCACAAGAAGUGGCCAUGCAGCAUUAGGCCAAGUAGGCAACCCACUUCUAGGACACAAAUUUGCAGUGCUUUCUAAAGCUUUAAUGUGCUAUUGAAAAUUGAUAGCCUAUUAUUAAACAAUACACUUCAUUUUUCAAUUGAGGAUUUCUGCAUCUUAACAGUUGUUUUCUCAUCUUUUUCUUCUUCUUCGGCUUCCUCUCAUUCCAUCCUCAGAUUCAAAAUCCUUUUCGUGGGCACCAGGCAAUGUUCUAAAUAUCAGCAUGGGUUGUGCCUCUUCACCUUUGUCUCUAUUACCAUUUAACAAAUUUGAAAAUUAUUUCCUAGUAGCAUUUUAGAUGAUGACCUUAAAAAAAGAAAAAGACUAUCAUAUGUAACUGUAUAGAUAAUACAGAACAAUCCAACAUCCAAACGGUCUAUGGCUUUUGUACAGGAACUACUCAAGCAUCCUUAUAUUUUUUGUCACAAGUUGGUGGUUUAUUUUUUUUAAUUAAAUUUAAUUGUUCUGCAUGCACAAUUACCACUAUGUGAGUGUACAUAUACAUGUAUUUACAUUACAUAUUUAUACAUAAUAUAUUACAUUUGUAAAUGUAUUACAUAUGCCAGACUUUUUUAUUCUUAUUUGCAGUGAACUCUUUGAAAU
rnacentral:lncRNA from 1 species